CAGCGGGAGCCUACACAUGNCAGCCGAGCGGUAGAAGAUCUUCGGAUCUUUGAGAGCGGCGUACGGGUGCGGAACACGUGUGCAACCUGCCUUUAUCAGGGGGAUAGCCUUUCGAAAGGAAGAUUAAUACCCCAUAAUAUAAUGAGUGGCAUCACUUAUUAUUGAAAACUCCGGUGGAUAGAGAUGGGCACGCGCAAGAUUAGAUAGUUGGUAGGGUAACGGCCUACCAAGUCAGUGAUCUUUAGGGGGCCUGAGAGGGUGAUCCCCCACACUGGUACUGAGACACGGACCAGACUCCUACGGGAGGCAGCAGUGAGGAAUAUUGGACAAUGGGUGAGAGCCUGAUCCAGCCAUCCCGCGUGAAGGACGACGGCCCUAUGGGUUGUAAACUUCUUUUGUAUAGGGAUAAACCUUUCCACGUGUGGAAAGCUGAAGGUACUAUACGAAUAAGCACCGGCUAACUCCGUGCCAGCAGCCGCGGUAAU
rnacentral:rRNA from 1 species